rnacentral:tRNA from 1 species
UGGGGUAUAGCUGAGUGGCAAAGCAGUCCGCUGUUAACGGAAAGAUCGUAGGUUCGAUUCCUACUACCCCAGCCA